rnacentral:rRNA from 1 species
GACGAACGCUGGCGGCGUGCUUAACACAUGCAAGUCGAACGGGGCUGCUAUGAUGGAGUUUUCGGACAGCUGAUUAGUAUGCCUAGUGGCGGACGGGUGAGUAACGCGUGAGUAACCUGCCUUUCAGAGGGGGAUAACAGCCGGAAACGGCUGCUAAUACCGCAUAAUGCAUUGGAUUCGCAUGUUUCCGAUGCCAAAGAUUUUAUCGCUGAAAGAUGAGCUCGCGUCUGAUUAGCUAGUUGGCGGGGUAACGGCCCACCAAGGCGACGAUCAGUAGCCGGACUGAGAGGUUGAACGGCCACAUUGGGACUGAGACACGGCCCAG